GGCUUCGUAAUCGAGUGGUAAGUAGACUUGCCUCUCAGCCUGGAGUUCCGGGUUCGAUCCCCGGUCGAAGACU